rnacentral:rRNA from 1 species
GACGAACGCUGGCGGCGUGCUUAACACAUGCAAGUCGAACGGAAAGGCCCUGCUUUUGUGGGGUGCUCGAGUGGCGAACGGGUGAGUAACACGUGAGUAACCUGCCCUUGACUUUGGGAUAACUUCAGGAAACUGGGGCUAAUACCGGAUAGGAGCUCCUGCUGCAUGGUGGGGGUUGGAAAGUUUCGGCGGUUGGGGAUGGACUCGCGGCUUAUCAGCUUGUUGGUGGGGUAGUGGCUUACCAAGGCUUUGACGGGUAGCCGGCCUGAGAGGGUGACCGGCCACCUUGGGACUGAGGUACGGCCCAGACUCCUACGGGGGGCAGCAGUGGGGAAUAUUGCACAAUGGGCGGAAGCCUGAUGCAGCAACGCCGCGUGCGGGAUGACGGCCUUCGGGUUGUAAACCGCUUUCGCCUGUGACGAAGCGUGAGUGACGGUAAUGGGUAAAGAAGCACCGGCUAACUACGUG